AGAGUGGAUCCUGGGCUCAGGACGAACGCUGGCGGCGUGCCUAAUACAUGCAAGUCGAGCGGACAGAUGGGAGCUUGCCCCCUGAAGUCAGCGGCGGACGGGUGAGUAACACGUGGGCAACCUGCCUAUAAGACUGGGAUAACUUCGGGAAACCGGAGCUAAUACCGGAUAAUACCGAGGACCUCAUGGUCCUUGGUUGAAAGAUGGCUUCGGCUAUCACUUAUAGAUGGGCCCGCGGCGCAUUAGCUAGUUGGUGAGGUAAUGGCUCACCAAGGCCACGAUGCGUAGCCGACCUGAGAGGGUGAUCGGCCACACUGGGACUGAGACACGGCCCAGACUCCUACGGGAGGCAGCAGUAGGGAAUCUUCCGCAAUGGACGAAAGUCUGACGGAGCAACGCCGCGUGAACGAUGAAGGCCUUCGGGUCGUAAAGUUCCGUUGUUAGGGAAGAACAAGUACCGUUCGAAUAGGGCGGUACCUUGACGGUACCUAACCAGAAGGCCACGGCUAACUACGUGCCAGCAGCCGCGGUAAUACGUAGGUGGCAAGCGUUGUCCGGAAUUAUUGGGCGUAAAGCGCGCGCAGGCGGUUCCUUAAGUCUGAUGUGAAAGCCCACGGCUCAACCGUGGAGGGUCAUUGGAAACUGGGGAACUUGAGUGCAGAAGANGAAAGCGGAAUCCACGUGUAGCGGUGAAAUGCGUAGAGAUGUGGAGGAACACCCAGUGGCGAAGGCGGCUUUCUGGUCUGUAC
rnacentral:rRNA from 1 species